rnacentral:lncRNA from 1 species
CGUCUCCAAGAUUUCGUCACUUCCCCUGCCACCAAUUUCAAAUUCUUCAAGGGAGACAAGUCCUCGCAAACCCCAGUACUCUGCCACUGAUGAAGCCCUCAGUCUCUCACAAUUCUUAAUGCAAAAAUGUCGGAGGUUGUGAGGCAAACCCCCAUCUUCUGCAAUUGACUCCAGAUUUGGAAGAUCCCUUAUUUUCAAAGAUCGAAGGCGUGUGAGGGUGUGAAUGCGUUCAGGUAAUGACUUCAACUUCUUGCAACGGAUGAAUUCCAAUUCAGUCAGGUUGGGAGGCAAACCCCCAUCUUCUGCAAUUGACUCCAGAUUUGGAAGAUCAUCCAUCUUCAAUCCCCGAAGGGCUGUGAGGGUGUGAAUGCGUUCAGGUAAUGACUUCAACUUCUUGCAACCGAUGAAUUCCAAUUCAGUCAGGUUGGGAGUGGGCAAUCCUCCCCGGGGAAAACACACCAGAUUUGGACAGCGUGUGAUAUUGAGAUGACUGAGAUUCUCAUCAACUCCUCCUCCUUCAAUCAAGGAAAGGGAUUCCAGAUUCUUAAAAUUGCAAAGGAAAAGCCACGUCAAUUUGGGAAAAAUGCCCAACGGGAAGGACCUCAUUGAAUCACAGCUAUGGGAUAUCGCCAAAUGCCCGAGCGAUGUUAAUUUGGCCAACAUCUCAUGAGGUAAUUCUAAUCUACUACAAAAGUCUAUCACAAGUAAUGUCAACGUAGUGGGUAGCCCAUCUUCAGGGAACGACGACAGGGUUGGACAAUUAGUUAGUCUCAAACUUUGAAGACGAUUGAUGUUUGGCAAGCACUGUAUGUCAUUUAAAUUCCAAAUCUCAAGUGUGGAUAGGAGCUUUGUUUCUAGUAAUGAUAACACACCGUCAAAUAAUCCUCCUUCUGUUCUCAAUUCUUCAAGAGAUUUGUAAUCCAUUUUAACACUAGUAGCAGUAGUGGCCCUUUGAUCAUAUAAAACCCCGCACCAUUCCACUCUAAACUUCUUCAAGCGAGGCAGAUCACAAGGCAAGCUUCCUCUCAGCUUUGGACAACGCCGUAGUAUGAGCUCCUGGAGACAAGGAAAGUCUACACCUCCACUUCCACUUGGUACCCAUUCUUCCCACUCUGCCAUCCAAUGAAACUCCAGCUUCUCCAGUGAUUUAAAUGGCUGAAUUACAGAAGAUCCAUUGCUGCCAUAAAACUCAACACCAAUCGUCUUAACAAGUUUCAUUUGGCUUAUACAAAGCUCUUUGAGGUUAGGUAGCCGCCCAACCGAUGGCAGCGACGAACAAUUACUACAAUCACUAAUACACAUGACUUGUAUGUUGGACAAGGACGAGCCGCCUAGCCAAUUCGGGAAAUGUUUUCCACCAUACCCACUGAUGGUUAGUUUCUCCAGAUUCACACAAGGCUGGAGCUUCUCAAGUACAUCUUUCUCCCUUUGGGAAUCAUCCGCAUCCUCAUCACCCCAUGCCAACUCUAACUCUUUGAGAUCUUUCUUAUCCUUCAAAUUUGCUUGCAAGGCAUCCCUAGUAUCAACUAUAUUUCGUAGCUGCAAAAUUGAAAGUUUUCCUCCAAGAUGUGGAAGCUUCCCCAAUUCUCCAAUAGUCGACCCAGUAGAUUUGCCCACAGUAAAAGCGGACAAUGUUCUCAAGCUUUUCAAUGUACUCAUUUGCCUUGGCAUCUCUACAAUUUUAGUUCCACUGAAGUCAAGAUGAUGCAAAUUAUUUAAUUCACACAUGUCUACAGGCAAUUUAGUAAGAGACGUACAACCUCCCAACAUUAAUUUCUGUAAAUUUAUCAAUUUUCUCAAGUCUGCAGGUAAUUCAACGAGACGAGAACAAGUUGACAAUAAUAAUGUCUGCAAAUUGUAGAGGCUGCAAAGUACACUGGGUAACGUUUCAAUUGCAGUAUCGGAGAGAUCCAAAUAGCGCAAGUGAAUGAGCUUUUUAAUGGAAUCAGGUAACUCAGUGACAUUCUCAUAACAGGACAACGACAACACCCGUAAACAUGUUAGUGAUGCCAACAAAUUAUGCAGAACCUUUUUACUUACAUAAUAACUGUCAAUAUUAAUGUACCUAUAAUAUGGUUUUAAAGAGAUAGAUAGAAAGGUACGCAAACACUUAGCCCCUUUUAAUGGCUCAAAUUUAACAGCAACAUCUAAUUUCUCCUUGGCAUAAGACAAAUGGCGAACUCUUUCUACUUCAUGUGAUUCCCUCCCUUCCCACCUGGAGCAAAAUCCUUUAGACAUGAACACCGCCAAGUCAUUGAUGAGAUCAUGCAUGACGAAACUUGAUUUCCCUGACGUUUGAAACAAUGAUCGGGAUAACAAUUCAUCAAAAUAUUCUUUAGCCACCUCUUCCAUGUUGUCUCCAUUCUCCGCUUGGGGAAUUAAACCUUCCGCCAUCCAAAGAAAAACAACAUUUUCUACCUUGAAUACAUAGUCUUUUGGAAAAAUUGAACAAUAAAUAAAGCAUCGCUUUAACUUAGCUGGAAGAUAAUGAUAACUCAAUCCUAAAGCGGGAAGAAUGUCACUUUUCUCGUAAGGUAACUCCCAAAUGUUGCUGUUUAGUACUCUGGUCCAUACCUCAGAGUCUGGCCUCGAACGUAACACACCCCCAAGUGUUUGCGCAGCUAAAGGCAACCCAUUGCACUUGCGUGCAAUUUUCUUGCCGAUUUCUUCCAAGCUUGGAUCUGAACUAGAGAUUACAUUUGCAUGUUUUGCAAGUAAGAACCAACAAUCUUCAUGCGACAAUGGUUUCAAGGUGUGAAUAGGAACAUUUUGCAUGAAAGAUGCUAUAUUUUUGUUCCGUGUUGUUACGAGGACUUUACUUCCCCUCGCCCCUGAAGUAAAAGGAGUUUGGAGGUAGUUCCAAUCAGUAUAUUUCUCAUUCCAAAGGUCAUCCAAUACAAACAAAAAUUUCUUCCCCCUCAGUUCUUCACUUAGCUCAACUUGAAGCAAAUUCAGAUCUGUCUUUUUACAAGGUUUUGAAGUCACUGACUCGAGAAGAGUUUUAGUUACCCUGAUAGCAUCAUAAUCUUCUGAAACACAAGCCCAAGCCUUAAGGGUAAAAUGCUCUUUCACCUUAUUGUCAUUGUAAAGCAUUCGAGCAAGGGUUGUCUUGCCAACCCCACCCAUUCCAACAAUGGGGAUGACAGACACAUUUUCCUCGCUUGCAUCAUCGAAUAACACUUCUAAUAAAUUUUGUUUGGCUUCAUCUCUCCCAUAUACACAAGGUUCAUGAACCAAGGAAGUUGUUGGAGUUCUUUGUGAAACCUUUCUCCCAACAUCUUCUCUCAGACCGAGAGCAACUUUCUGUUGUACAAAAUGUUCUAAUCUUUGUAACAACUCUUGUAUCUUAGCAUUCAUCCUUCGAUAAAAUUUAUUACGAGAAGUGGGGAGGAAGGUAGACAUCUUACUUGUGAAAUUGCCGUUUUGAGCAUCACCUUCCAGCUUGCGUCGCAAAGCUUCAUAGUUGAUCUCAUCCAGCAAGUCCUCGGCAUCAAAGACAGCAUGUUUGAGCUCGUCAAGCCACUCUCUCACAUUUGGUUUCUCAAUUUGCUUCUCCUCUGCAUCAUCGAGCACUGCGUUCAAGGUCAACAGCGUCGUCUUCAGUUCCAUGAGGAGAGGUUGAUCCAGUUUCUUGUGCCGAAAUAAGUCGACGAACUCGGGUGAAGCAAUUCUGUCACAAAUCACCUGGAUGGAAGCAGAAAUAAAGGCCCCUCCGAUCAAAGCUCCAGCCAUUUUUCUCUUCUUUUCCUGGGCAAGGGAGUUGGAUGAAAGUAACUUGGAAAUACAGGUAAGGCAGUAUGAAAGCUUUUUAUGUAUUUAUCUAAGUUCCGUUGGGUGGCUGUGAGUGUUUGAGUUUGUUAGCCUAAGUGAUCAUAAUUAACUUCUAAUUAGCGUGUAAUAUUAUUAACUUUUAAAAAAUCUCUCACUUUAUUCUCUGGGGGGAAAACUUCUAAAACUUUUCUGUAGCCUCACAUGGGGAUGGGGUCGUCCUCGUCACCACCAAUCUGUACAUGCAAAGUCGGCCAUUGACGUGGGUAAUGAAUGAUGCUUUCACAUGUGAAAGCAGUCAUGUCUCAUUUUCUUCUUCGAAAAAGUAAAAACAAAAAUAGAAAAAUUCAGAUAAGAAAUUCACUAAUUUAUAAAGAAAUCGAUUCAUUGUGUUGGUAGGUGGGACCAACACAGCCUGGUUUGGCCUGUUGAAGGAUGACAUUGACAAGACAACAACAAUAAUUCUACUGCCCGCAAGUGGAAGGAUGCGUCAGACUCCAAUGCCAUUGAUUGAUGUCUUUGCCAUUGCCAAUCUACGCCCUUCACAAAUUUAAAAACGUACGGUAAGGGGUUAAGAGAAGAAAAUUAAGAAAGCGAACAAAAUCAAGUCAGCUAAUCAAAGACCAGAUCGGACAAGGCAUAUUUUAUAAAUCAUAUGAAGACAAUUGAGAAAAUUCAUAGAAUGUGAAAAUUGUUAUAAAAGUUGUUUGUUGAUGAUUGUUAUAAAAAUCAUAGAAAUUAAUUCAUAUUUGAAAAUUUUGAGAAUUAAAAAUAAUAAUAAAAAGAGCAUCAUAUCCUUUCAAUAAUUGGACCCACACGGCUUAAGGGACACUUUUUCUCCUGCUUUGGACUGUUGGAACUUGGAGUGGAGGAUGACUAGACAAGACAAGACAACAACAACACGCACCAGACCCCAAUGCCGUUGAUCUCUUUGUAAAUCUAUGGCUCUUACCAGAUUUCAAAAUGUAAAGUAGAAGAAGAAAAGUAAGCUAUUCAAAAGCAUAUUUCAAAUAUCAUAUAUAAAAAGUAAAUUGGGAAAAAUCAUGGAAUGUGACAUUGUUGAUAAAAGUUGUUUGUGUAACAUUAGAAAGUUGUUAGAGCACUUUCAUCAGUUGACUCUUAUCAUGGCAAGAUUAGUUCUAGGGCAGGCACUAUUCAUGUGAAUAGUAGCUGCUCUAACCCCAUCCAGUAAAAUGUGUUUCCAGCAGUUGGGGCUUGCCAUGGCAAUUACUAUUCAUUUUUUUGUUUUUUUCACAAUUUUGUUUACUUAAACAAUUAAUUUGGAUAAUAUUUUCGGAUAAGAUUUUUGGGUUCCUACGUGUCAAUACUAUUCAUAUCGGAUAAGAUUUUCGGUUUCAAAUUUCAGAUAAAUUCAAAAUGUCGAAUUUCAGAUACAUUUCGGAAUUCAAAUUUCAGAUAAAUUUGAAAUUUGAAAUUUCAUUUGAAUUUCAAAUUUCAGAUAAGAUUUUCACCCUCUAAGAUUGCGCCGCGUGUCAUAUCUAUCUGUGUACAUUUUUCUAUAAAAUCAGAGGUUCAGCUCAUACCAUCCACACCAGUUCUUCUCUACAUUUCCAUUUCUCAAAUUUUAGAUUUCAUUCUCCAUUUUCAAUGGCAGACAUGGAAGAGGUUUUGGAGAGGCAAGAGCGAGAAACUAGAGAAAGAAUGCGUAGACGAGCUGCAAGCAAAAGGGCGCAGAGAGAACUAGAUGAGCAACUUGGCAUAGCAGUUGCUUUGCUGGAGGAAGAAAAGCAGGCUCGCCGUGGUUCACGAGAAGGUCGUCGCCCAAAUGUGGACAGACAUAGACAUUCCCGGGGUAAGAAUCUUAUGGAAGAUUAUUUUAUCCCACAAUCUCUGUACUCUGAUGUUCAUUUUCGAGGGAGAUAUAGAAUGCAACCCCAUUUGUUCAAUAAAAUCAUGCAUGAUAUUUGCAAUUAUGAUGAAUAUUUUGUUCAAAAGAGAAAUUGUGCUGGAAAUUUGGGACUUCUUCCAGAGCAGAAGUUCACAGCUGUGAUACGAAUGUUGGCGUAUGGGUCAUCUGCUGAUCAGGUGGAUGAGAUUGCUCGGAUGGGGAAGUCCACUAUUUUGGAGAGCUUGGUGCAGUUUUGUGAUGCAGUGGAAACUCUGUACACCAGAGACUACCUCCGCAGACCUACGCCCAGGGACCUGCAAAGGCUUCUCCAAAAAGCUGAGUCUCGAGGAUUCCCUGGCAUGAUUGGUAGCAUUGACUGCAUGCACUGGCAGUGAAAAAAUUGUCCAACUGCUUGGCAAGGGGACUACGGAAAUAGAAAAGGGCAGAAAAGUAUCAUCCUGGAAGCAGUUGCUGGUUUUGAUACAUGGGUUUGGCACGCCUUCUUCGGAGUUGCCGGAUCUCAAAACGAUUUGAAUGUCCUAGGUCAAUCCCCGGUGUUCAAUGAUGUUUUGAGAGGUGAAGCCCAAAAUAUCACAUAUGAAAUUAACAAUACCAUCUACCAGACCGGGUAUUAUCUAGCUAAUGGCAUAUACCCGAGGUAGACAACAUUUGUGAAAACAAUUCCACAUCCCCGAUCCCAUAAGGAAAAUUUUUUUGCUCGCUAUCAAGAGGGGUACAGAAAAGAUGUUGAGAGGUGCUUUGGUAUCCUUCAAGCUCGGUGGGCUAUUAUCAGGGGCGCGGCACGUCUAUUUGACGAGGAGGUGCUUAGGAGUAUAAUGAUGACUUGUAUCAUCCUCCAUAACAUGAUUGUGGAAGAUGAAUAUGAUUACGAUGCUGAUGACGUGUAUGAACCAAAUCCCAUGGACACGGCCCUAACACGAAUUUAUGAAAAACCAGUGGGGCCAAAUGGAGAAGCAGUGCAGCAUGAACUGUUGGUUAGAGACGGUAGUUUCAUGCCUCGUAUGAUUGAUCGCUACACGGAGAUGCAAUCGUCGUAUAUUCAUGAACACCGUCAAGUUGACUUGAUGGAGCAUUUAUGGGCGGUGAAAGGCAAUGAAGGAAAUGAAGGUGAAUAAAGUGAAGUGAAGAAGUUGUUUUUAUUUUAUUAUGUUUAUGUUGUAUGUUGUUUAUUUUUUGUUGUGAGUGGGUUGUUUAUGUUUUAUGCUUUGGUUGUGGGUUGUUUAUGUUUUAUGCUUUGGUUGUGGGUUGUUUAUUUUUUAUGCUUUGGUUGUGGUUUGUUUUUUAUGUAUGGAAUGUUUUGAAUAAAAAGGAUUUUUGUUGAAUAUUUUCUUUAUUGACUAAAAGAAAAGCAAUACAACUAAUAAUAAAAUAAAAUACAUGAAUUAAACAAAACAAAAAAUACAAUGAAAUGAAAGGUACAUGAAUUAAAGAAAACAAAAAAUACAAUGAAAUCAAAGGUACAUGAAUUAAAGAAAACAAAAAAUACAAUGAAAUCAAAGGCAAGUAAACUACGACAUGAAAGGCAAACAAACUAUUUUAAUGGUUUCCAUCAUUUAACCAAUCCGUGUUGCUAGGUCCAUCGUCACGAAAAAGUCUUCGUCUCAUAAUAUCCCUUCGUUCUAGCUUCCAAUAUUGUUUUGUUUCAGGGGACAUAUGGCUUGUAUCCAUGACCAUGGUUUCCCGAUCUUUUUUUUCAAUGUUUUGUUCGCGUACAUACUCCCUUUCUUUGCGUACAUACUCCCUUUCUUUUGCAUAUUCUACUUGAAUAGCCAUAUCGUGCUCUUGUUGUUUCAAGUCCAUUUCAAUUCUCAUGGCUUGGUGCUUUGAAAGUUCCUCCAAAAAUUGAGAUGCAUUCUUGCUAGAAUUACUCCCUCUCUUCGCCUUCGCCGCCUUCCUCCCAAUAGGCCUUGGCUCAUUUUCAAUGGGUGAGUCUAGAUUCAUCGGGGAAUCCAUAGGUGAAUCCGAUGCAGGCGUCUCACGAAGUGGAGUCUCGUUCAAGACUACCGUCGGACCGGUUGGAAUAAUUUGGAAUCUCUUACAAGUCUUCACCACCUCCCAACAAUGGGUAUGGUUGAAACUUUUUUUUCCUUGGCCAGUAGCACCAAACCACAUUUGUGCUUGUAUAAUCUAUAAAAAAAUGAAAUGGAAAUGCAAGAGAAUUUUUAAAAUAUUGGCAAUGCAACAUGUAAAAAAAAACUAAUGGAAAUUAAAGAAAUAAUAAAAAAAUACAACAUGUAUUAAAAAAAACUAGAGACAUAUUAACAAAAUAUAUAAAUUGCAAGAAACAUUUAAAUAAAAAUUAAUAUGACAUAGAAAUUAAUAGAAGAAAAAUGACAAAUAAUUUACCUCACUGCUAAGAUUUUCUCCACUUCGAUGGUUGUCAAUCGCUUUUGUUAAGGCAUUUCUCCUUUUCCCCAACUCUUUAUUAAGAACUUUCCACCUACUGGAUAAUGCCAUUUCUGUACGUGUAGAACCAAUUGCCCUUUCACAAAAUGCUUGAUGAAUUUUUUUCCACAUAUGAGAAAAUUUAAUCUCAUUGCCCGUUACGGGACAAUGACUAACUUGGACCCAAGCCUCACACAAGCUAACAUCUUCCAUCAUGCUCCAUGCCCCUCCAUUUUCAUUAGAAGAACCCAUAAUAUGCUAGAAAAAAAUUACAACUUCAAAGUGAAAAAAUAUUGAAUAGAAAGUGAAUAAAAUUUGAGGAGAAAGUGAACAAUAGUAGAAGGAGAAGAAAAUAUAUGAGGAGUUGGUGUUAAAAGUGAAGAGUAUUGGUUGGUAUUUAUACACAAAAAAUUUUGUAAUUUUUGUGUUUUUUUUUUUUGAAAAAUUCGAUUUUUUUUGGCAGAAAAAUUGGCUGCCGUUGGAUUGAAGAAAAAGUUCUAAUCGGAGCGACCAGAGGCCGCCACGUGUCAAAGAGCCGUUGGCGGCACUGUAGCGCUGAUUUGAAAUUUUUUUUAACGUUGGCGCGUGCAAUGCACGCGCCAACGGUAAAAAAAAAUUCAAAACUUCAGGGCUGACGCCAUGCUGGCGUCAGCUAUUUUGUCCCAGACUUCGGGCCCGAGGUCGGGCCGAAUUCGCCUUCGGGCCUGCCCGUUUUGAUGGCCCCCACUCUCGCCCGGGCUGAACUUUUGCUGCUGGACUUCGUUUUUUGCCCCAAACCCCCCCCAGUCCGAGUUUUCCAGCCCUGCUGGAAAUGCUCUUAGUGCAUCCACUGUUGGAGAAUCUUGGUUGUGGACGCUCUCCUUUGAUCACCAACAGUAGAUUGAGGCGUAUAAGUUAUUGUUUUUAAAAAUAGAUCCACCCUUUUGAGAUAAUAUCUCGAUGUAGUAGGUUAUGACGUCUUACCUUUUAGAAUACAACAAAUUUUGAUCCUUGUAAAUAUACACUCGCAAUAUUUAAAUCAGAUGAACAUUUGAAUCUUUCCCUUGAGAAAUAAAAUAAAAUUAACACAAUACAAAACUGUAUGAAAAUUGUGAGGAAAGGAAAUAAUGUGGGAGGACAGAACUUGAGAGAAAAAAAUGCUCGAAUUAAGAUAUCUGUUCAGCCAAAAUAGCCAAAGCUAUAUAUAGAAGUUGCUGACCCCAAAGAGACGUUGGUCAUUAAAGAUAAAAUUUUGCCGUUUGAUGAAUAAUGGUGGCACAGUUUAGAAAUUGAAUACUGAUACCAAUAGACCAAUUAAAUAUAUAUAAACACAAAUGGUUAUGUAAUCAAGACCUUCAGCAAAUCAAAGUGAUCAUAUAAGCAAAAGCUUUUCCUGUAGGAAUCAAAUAAAUUGAAGGCAAAGUGUACGUUAAAACCAAAGUCAGCCAACAGAAUUUAAUGCCCAGAAUAAACAAACAAGUAAAUGAUAUUUGAGUGGGUCUACAGUAAUUUUCACAAUUAAACCAAUUAAACGUUAUCAGCAAUCAGAAUAAGAUUCAAAUUGAAGAAAGCAAUUAAAUCAAAUCAACUAAAUGUUCAUCCGUUUUACAUUUGUUCAUGCGAUGGUAUGGUAAAGUUCCCUAUUAUCUCGAAAAUUAUUGACUGAUUAAUAAGUCAACUUUCUUUAGUGUGCAAGCGUGCCACUACCAACAAUGAAAAUCCUAAUAGACUUCUUAAAAAUAGAUAACUUGCGCCCCAAGUUACAAGCGAUUGUGAAUUUGGGUGAGGAAUAUCUCUCAAGUAAGUUCUUUUCUUGCCUCAGACGAGUGAGGACUUCACGUUUUUUCACAGUACAAAACUGGUAGCUCUGGCCAAAAUAAAUUAUAAGAAAGUGAACUGUUUUAGGCAGAACUACCUUUUACAAAGCUCAAAAAGGAAAGCCAACUCUAAAAAAGACAAAAGGAGGGCUGGACUUCCAUUUCUGCCUGGAUAGAUGCUUCUGAUCCGGGCUAGACUGGGUAUGUCUGUACUGGACUGGGACUAUCAACACCUUCAACUAUCAAGUUUCAGCUGUAAGGAAUUUGAGAUAUGUUAACCCAAUCUUUUCCCGUCUUAUUAUCAUACCUUUUCUCUAGGCCAGAACAUUUGUAGAUCAGAAGUAAAGAAAGAGAUGGCUGCAAACCCUCUUUUAGCAUGAAUUGGAGAUUGUCACACCAACUAAUAUAAAUCCUUUGAAGAGAAGUGAGGUGUUGAAGUUGCAGAAAUUCGAGAGUAGGACAGCUUUCCAUUCGUAGGUGUUGGAGAGAAGUGAGGUUUCCCUUUCUGUUCAAAGAUUUCAGACUUGUAAUUUCGUUGAUGCGUUGAGUGUGAAGAGUGGUAGGAAGCAGCUGUUGCUUGAGCAACGUCUCCAAGAUAUUGUCACUUCCCCUGCCACCAAUUGUAAAGUUUUUAGAACUACAAGAGCAAAACAUAUCCAAUUCCUAGAUGUUGGAAUAAAACAAAUUUGGCACCAGGAAAUAUGUCGAUCGACUAUUUAUAAAUUAUUCUGCAAGUUUAAUUGUGAGAGAUUUCAAAUUUCUCUGUCAUUAAAAAGUUAUGAUGGUGAGGGAGGCAAAAGAAUGGAAGGAAAAUAAAUAUUAGAAUGUACACCUCCAGAUCUUCUGCUAAUGGAUCUAAUUGUAACUUUCCAUUUGUGAACCGAUUUUUGUGAUCAGAACUACAAGAGCAAAGCAUAUCUACACACGCUUCAAGCUGGUAACAGAAUGAAGAAGAUGAGAAAGCCACCUAUGCCAAUGGGGACGGAAGUAAGGAUGCAAGUUUGUGCCAUGCCACCUAUGUCAAAAGUAGGCUUCUGCAGUUGAAAAUAACCAAUAAGCAUCGAUGAAAACUGUGUUGUUUUUAGACCCGAAAAAAACUGUUUUGUUUUCUUUUUCAAUUUUUUUUUUCCCAUUAGGAGCAUGCUUUCAUUAAGGAAAGAAAAACGAAAACAUUACAAAACAGGGCACAAGUUAUCUACUGGAUAAGCAAAGACUACCCGACUAAAACCGCAAACCAGAGAUAAAACAUCCUAACAUUACAACAUGAAUGAAAUCUAAAAACAGAGAAAAGGAUACAGAUAACUUGAUCAAACAACUUAAGCUCACAGGUUAUCUUUAGGCAUCAAACACAAUUUAAACUAGCUCAAAUGAGACUCAACUUAAGCUUAUGAGAAAGUACCUAAAAAUGUUGUACAUUCGAUGCCUGUAUGCAGAAAUGCGUCAAAUUGAGAUAUUCCAGGCGAGCCUCUCUGUUUCUCCUCGUCGUAACAACUGUAAGGCUAUAAACAAUGGCAAACCCCUCAUCUGGAAAUGGCACGCAAAGAAACCUUGCAAAUGAAAAGCUCUCUACGAGAAGGUAUGCUGUCCUGCAAAAGGCUACUAAUUAUUCAGCAUUUGAGACUUAACAACACCAAUUAGAAAUAUAGUAAAUAGAACGAGAUUUUUAUUGAGAACAAUAAUAAUAGAAAUCAGAUUGAAAGUCGUUGUUAAGCACAAAUUGUUUUUUUUCUGGAAAAUGAUUUUAAUCGGAAAAUAACAAGAAACCAGUAAACAGCAGUGCCAAAUGUAAUUGACAAAAAUCUAUGAUAUGUAAAGAAGAUAAUACAAUGAACUUGGGGGCAUAAAAAUAGUAACAAAUAUGCAUCUCGGUUUAUUUGGGGACAUGAAUUUGGGAAAUCCAAUAUAUAUUUGAGUUUUUUUAUAAGAAAAAUAAUAUGUAUUUUGGUAUUUGGAUUCAAUUAGAAGAAAACCAGUUAAGCCAGUUAUUUGAAGUACAUACCUGAGUUUGAUUUGAGAGUUGAGAGUGAAACAUCGGAUGCAAGGAAUGUGUGUGAGAGAGAGAGCUCAUAUCAUAUGAUCACUUCUUUGCCUAUCUUGAUGCAUGGAAUGUGAGAUAUGUCAGCCCAAGCUUUUCCUGUCUUCUUCUUAUACCUUUUUUCCAGGGCAGAACAAUUAGAGAUGCUCAGAAAAGAAAGAGAAGUGAGGUCAUUAAGUCCCUUUGAGUCCAAAGAUUUCAGACUUGAAAGUUGACUGAUCUCGAGGCGUUGAAGAGUUUUAGGGAGCAGCUGUUGCUUGAGCAACGUCUCCAAGAUUUCGUCACUUCCCCUGCCACCAAUUCCAAAUUUUUCAAGGGAGACAAGUCCUUGCAAACCCCAGUACUCUGCCACUGAUGAAGCCCUCAGUCUCUCACAGUUCUCAAUGGUAAAAUAUUGGAGGUUGCGAGGCAAACCCCCAUCUUCUGCAAUUGACUCCAGAUUUGGAAGAUCCCCUAUUUUCAAAUAUCGAAGGCGUGUGAGGGUGUGAAUGCGUUCAGGUAAUGACUUCAACUUCUUGCAAUUGAUGAAUUCCAAUGAAGUCAGGUUGGGAGCGGGCAAUCCUCCCCAGGGAAAACAAACCAGAUUUGGACAGUGUGAGAUAGCGAGACGACUGAGAUUCUCAUCAACUCCUUCUUCUUCAAUCAAGGAAAGGGAUUCCAGAUUCUCACACUCGCUAAAGAAAAGCGACGUCAAUUUGGGAAAAAUGCCCAGCGGGAAGGACCUCAUUGAAUCACAGCUACGGAAUAUCGUCAAAUGCCAGAGCGAUGUUAAUUUGGCCAACAACUCAUGAGGUAAUUCUAAUCUACUACAAAAGUCUAUCACAAGUGAUGUCAACGUAGUGGGUAGCCCAUCUUCAGGGAACGACGACAGGGUUGGACAAUU